rnacentral:rRNA from 1 species
AUUGAACGCUGGCGGCAUGCCUUACACAUGCAAGUCGAACGGCAGCACGGGAGCAAUCCUGGUGGCGAGUGGCGAACGGGUGAGUAAAGUAUCGGAACGUGCCCAGUCGUGGGGGAUAACGUAGCGAAAGUUACGCUAAUACCGCAUACGAUCUAUGGAUGAAAGCGGGGGAUCGCAAGACCUCGCGCGAUUGGAGCGGCAGAUAUCAGAAUAGGUAGUUGGUGGGGUGAAGGCUCACCAAGCCGACGAUCUGUAGCUGGUCUGAGAGGACGACCAGCCACACUGGGACUGAGACACGGCCCAGACUCCUACGGGAGGCAGCAGUGGGGAAUUUUGGACAAUGGGCGCAAGCCUGAUCCAGCCAUGCCGCGUGCAGGAUGAAGGCCUUCGGGUUGUAAACUGCUUUUGUACGGAACGAAAAGGUUUGACUUAAUACGUUGGACUCAUGACGGUACCGUAAGAAUAAGCACCGGCUAACUACGUGCCAGCAGCCGCAGUAA